rnacentral:rRNA from 1 species
GCGAAAUUUCCGCAAUGCGCGAAAGCGUGACGGGGGGAGUCCGAGUGCCAUCCUAACGGAUGGCUUUUCGUGAGACUAAAUCUCUCACGGAAUAAGUGGUGGGUAAAUCUCGUGCCAGCCGCCGCGGUAAUACGAGUAGCACUAGUGGUACCCGUGAAUAUUGAGCUUAAAGCGUUCGUAGCCGGUCGAGUCAGUUUCCUGUGAAAUCUGCGGGCUUAACCCGCUUAGGCGUGCAGGAAAUACUGCUCGGCUAGGGAACGGGGGAGGUCAGGAGUACUCUAGGGGGAGCGGUAAAAUGCUGUAAUCCUUGGAGGACUAACGAUGGCGAAGGCACCUGACUAAAACGUGUCCGACGGUGAGGGACGAAGGCUAGGGGAGCGAACGGGAUUAGAUACCCCGGGAGUCCUAGCAGUAAAUGAUGCAGAUUUGGCGUUGCAUUCACCACGAGUGGGUGCAGUGCCGUAGGGAAACCGUUUAAUCUGCCGCUUGGGGAGUACGAUCGCAAGAUUGAAACUUAAAGGAAUUGGCGGGGGAGCACCACAAGGGGUGGAUGCUGCGGUUCAAUCGGACUCAACGCCGAGAAACUUACCAAGAGAGACGGCAGAAUGAAGCCCAGGCUAAAGACCUUGGCUAACGAGCCGAGAGGUGUUGCAUGGCCAGCGUCAGUUCGUGCCGUGAGGUGUCAGGUUAAGUCCUGCAACGAACGAGAUCUCCGUCAACAGUUGCCAGUCGUUCCUCCGGGGGCGGCGCACUCUGUUGAGACUGCCUGCGUUAAGUGGGAGGAAGGAGGAGGCGACGCUAGGUCUGUAUGGCCCGAAUCUCUUGGGCCACACGUGGCAUACAAGGGCGCGGACAAUGGGUUCCGACACCGAAAGGUGGAGGCAAUCCCCUAAACCGCGUCCCAGUCCAGAUUGGGGGCUGAAACUCGUCCCCAUGAAGU